GUUAAGAUGAGUUUCUUGCAAAAAAACUAUGUCCGCCUGCUUUCUCUUUAAUUCCUUAAACAUUAUCUUCCUUUUAGCAGGUGAAUUAAGGCCUUUUACAUUUAAGGAAAUUAUCUUCUCAUCCAUCAUAAUUCAACACCAAUACAAGCAGAGUAGAACUGAGGACAGGAGAUUUUUUUCGUUAUUUGCAGAUUAGAGAUUUUGCGUAUUCAAUGGAG